UCCGUUCAAAACAGAACUGGACUGCUGGACAAGGACGAGUUCAUGCGAGGAUCUCUGGGCCUCGAAAAACUUGGGCAUUCCCAAAAUUACUAUUUAGGGGGAAAACAGUACCCAGUUAGUUGCCUAGGCUUCUUUUCCUUAGCUUCUACCCUCUCUUCCGGGUUUUUCCGAAGAUGUUCGCUUGAACUCCCCUCUUCGGGCCCAGAGGGCACGCUAUCCCUCUCUUUCUAACUUAUAGACUAUAUAUGCAUCUAUGAAUCGGUGUACACGUAAACACAUUUACAUGCACACAUCAAUACACAUAUACACACUUUCCUUAUCUUAAACUAAA